UUUGUCGUUUUGAUUCAGAAGAAUAUCAAAACAGGGUGAUAUCAUAUCGUAAUUCAUUACAAAUGACAAUUAAGUCAAUAUAUUUGUAGUCAGUGGACAAUCGUAUGAGCAAUUAUUGUUUACUUUUGCUGAGUGGAACUCGGAACGUGCGCGCGUAGGUCAGAGUUUUGACGCAAGCAGACGACUGUGUGUCCUAUAAAAGUAUUAAAAGGAGAACGGCCCGGCAACCACGCGCAUUUACGUUGUAGAAAUCAAUUUUCGUGACUGAAUUUCAUCGGAUUCAAAUAGAAGAAGUCCCAAAUAGCUUUUUCAUCGACCGAUUUCGCAAAUAUGUGGAUUUGAGGAUAGCCUGCGGAACAGUUCUUACCUAUUCGAGAGAAAAAACACCUCAAUAAUCCAAAGAAACCCCGGACACAACUUAAAUGCAAAAACGCAUUUUGUUAUUGUUUUUGUAUUUUGAUAAGGAACUGAGGACCUAGUAAACAUGAAGCUGUCGCCACUUUUCUGUUGCUUCCUGCUGAUAGUCAUUUGGCAGGAGCUCUGUAAUGCCUCUCCCCGGAGAGAGAUGUUGACGCAGCGAAGCUCGGGAUCUGAUGACGGGGAAGUUGAGGGCAGAGCGACGGAGCGGAGGAUUCCAGAUCUGAGCGCAUUAGUUGAAAGUGCCCGCAGACGGCAACACCAUCAUGACGGUCAUCAAACGCGCGAGACCAGAAUCUCCCGACACCGCAGCUUCUUGAAGCAAAUCUCCGCAGCUCUCGUUCGUGCCCAAAAGAAAGCAGGACGAGGCCCGUCUGACAUCAAGUCUAUCCCGCCAGUAGAUGCAGUUUAUUCUGGGAAGGAGAGGUCUUCGUUAAACACGGUAAAGAGAGUCCCUAAUGCUCCGAAUUUUCCGAGGCAACGGAACUUUCAUCACCAUCAUCGUCCCGCGCGCCGGAAUAGGUUUUCGCUUCGAUUGCAUCUUCCCGCAAGACGGCGUCAGGGUCAUUCAGCAAUGGUUUAAAACAAGAGAGUAAACACGGGUUUCCGUAACGGAGAAUACGUAAGAGAAGAGUGCAACUCCCUCUGUAACCAUGCCAACGUUUGAAGAAAGCGAUCAAUCACAAACGCAGAAAAUGUCAUGGAAUCGCCCGGCUUCACUCCCGCGAGUACAUGUGUCUUCUGCUGUACACCCAGUGUUUGCUUUCAGAGGUGAACCACUGCGGAUGAGUGUACACCUCAUCUUGGACUUGGAUAGAACGUUUUAAAGCAAUGCAUAUGAAUUCUCGAUACAGAAUACAGAAACAUUUCACAACCGUAUUCUUCAGAGACAUGUUUUUCUCCGGCGUAAGGUACAUUAGUCUGAAAGCAAAAUAAUGUCAAAUUAUGGAGGCUCAUGCAAGGUGUUUUAAGGUGAAUUUGCCUGCUUUCGGUACGGACUUGAGGAAACGACGGACGAAGACAAGCAAUCAGGAAAUCUAUUGACUUGCUUGUCUUUGAGUUUAAAAAGACGGUCAAAUGAACUGUAAAAAGAUUUAUGAGUUGAUAAAGGUAUUCUAAAGAGACCUCGGUAAUAGGAUAGAUAUCACCAUUGAUAGUGACAGUAAUGGAAAGUUUUGUUUCGUUUUGAUCGUGUGGUCCUUGGUGUCACAACCAAUGACCGACAACCUGAGACCGACAACCAAGAACCAACAACCUUGGUGUCACAACCAAGGACCGCUAGGUUUUAAUUUGAGGGCAAAUGUUCACUUUAAGUUCUUUUAGAAUAGAAAGUAAUACCUCA